rnacentral:lncRNA from 1 species
AUGUGCAAUGGCUGUAGACAACUUGAUUCUAAAUUGUCUUCGUGAAUUUGCAGAACAAGGUAUUUUCUAUUUCAUUUGUAACCUUAUGUGCCUUGCCUGUAAGUCAAGUUUAGCCUGUAACAAAGGCUUUAAGAAUUAAUUAGAGUGGAUAGAGAUAGAAAUACUCUUCUUGGCAACUAUGGAAAACCGCCAUUCUCUAAAUGCAUGGAUGAAUUAUGUAAGUUUAAUUAUCUUAUAUAUUAUAAUAGUCUUACAUAUGUACUUUUGUGAAAUAAAUAUUAUUUACAUACUAUUACUCGCCAUGAUAUUUUUUUAAUGAUUUUAAUGGCGAUUGGGAUGUAUAAUAGUUAUGCACUAUUUUAUUAUGAUAUGCAUCAUGUUGCUGAUGCAUAUGCCAUUUUUGAUGUUACACAUUUAUACCUUGUUGUAUUAUAAAAUUACUUAUAGUUUGGUUGAGUAUUUGCAAGUGAUAUUUAAGUUCGAAAUCAGUUUUGUUUUAGUUUUUUGUAUAUAUAUGUAGUUCUUAUAGCAUUUAUUUAAUUUUCAAUUCAGGUUCCACUCAUAAAAUAAUUCCUCAAUAAAUCAAAAAUGAAAUUUCAUUUACAAAUCAGUUCUCUUAAAAUUAAUAUAUCAAUUCAGUUCUUGAUAUCUAUAUUUCCCCUCAUAUUUCAGAUCCUAAUUCAGUUAAUAAAUGGAUUAAGAACUAAAAUACGAUAGAAAAAUAUUAAUAUCAAGAACUGAACUAUUGCGAACUGAUUUAAAACUGAGAAAAUUAACUAAUCACCCCAUAAGCAAAAUCAAAAAUUAGAAAUUAAAUCAAUGCCAUAAGAACUGCGCAAAAGCUGAAAUAGAACUGAUUUAUAACUUAUAUAUACUCCGGUAUUUACUCUUAAUCAAUAGAUUUGCUAAUGAACCGCCUCCACACCUCUGGAAGCACUCAACUUGCUUCUCCACACAAAGCCGUUCAUGUUUUGGGUUGGAUUUAGCAGAAGUUAAAUCAACCCAAGAAAAUAUUGUUACUGCGCUUAAAAGGCUAGGAUGGAGAACUGAGCCAAAAAGUUUUUCGCUUUUAAGAGAUAAAUGUCACUCACUUGAAGAAUCUGAUGCUUUCAAAAACAAGGCAGCAACUAAAAUGAAGGUUACGGAUAAAGAAUGAUAAAGGUGGCAAGUCUAGGGUUUUUCUAUUAUUUUUUUAUGUAAUUUUUACUGGGAAAAUCAAGUUUGUAUGUAAAUGAAUUUUUUAAAGUACUGUUACUUUUAUUAAGUAAAAAAAUGUUAUUCAUACUAUAAAA